UACGUAGGGGGCGAGCGUUGUCCGGAGUUACUGGGCGUAAAGGGCAUGCAGGCGGUCCGACACGUUUUGUGUGACAGCGGGUGGCUUAACUACCCGAGGAUACGAAAGACGGUUGGACUUGAGGACUCGAGAGGGACACGGAAUUCCGGGUGGAGUGGUGGAAUGCGUAGAGAUCCGGAGGAACACCGAAGGCGAAGGCAGUGUCCUGGCGAGUGACUGACGCUGAGGUGCGAAAGCCAGGGGAGCGAACGGG
rnacentral:rRNA from 1 species